rnacentral:misc_RNA from 1 species
GAUGAAGAACGUAGCGAAAUGCGAUAAGUAGUGUGAAUUGCAGAAUUCAGUGAAUCAUCGAAUCUUUGAACGCACAUUGCGCCCUUUGGUAUUCCUUAGGGCAUGCCUGUUCGAGCGUCAUUUAAACCUUCAAGCUAAGCUUGGUGUUGGGUGACUGUCCGCUUCACGGCGGACUCGCCUCAAAAUUAUUGGCGGCCGGUACAUUGGCUUCGAGCGCAGCAGAAACGCGAACUCGGGCCCGUCGUAUUGGCUCCCAGAAGCUAUCUUCACAAUUUUGACCUCGGAUCAGGUAAGGAUACCCGCUGAACUUAAGCAUAUCAAUAAGCGGAGGA